rnacentral:rRNA from 1 species
AUUGAACGCUGGCGGUAUGCUUAACACAUGCAAGUCGAACGGUAGCAGGCCUUCGGGCGCUGACGAGUGGCGGACGGGUGAGUAACGCGUAGGAAUCUGCCUCAUAGUGGGGGACAACGUGUGGAAACGCACGCUAAUACCGCAUACGCCCUACGGGGGAAAGCGGGGGACCUUCGGGCCUCGCGCUAUGAGAUGAGCCUGCGUUAGAUUAGCUAGUUGGUAGGGUAAAGGCCUACCAAGGCGACGAUCUAUAGCUGGUCUGAGAGGACGAUCAGCCACACUGGGACUGAGACACGGCCCAGACUCCUACGGGAGGCAGCAGUGGGGAAUAUUGGACAAUGGGCGCAAGCCUGAUCCAGCAAUACCGCGUGUGUGAAGAAGGCCCUAGGGUUGUAAAGCACUUUCAAUAGGGAGGAAAACCUGUCGGUCAAUACCCGGCAGCUUGACAUUACCUAUACAAGAAGCACCGGCUAACUCCGUGCCAGCCGCCGCCGUAACAC